CAUUACGAAAAACAGACUGCCGAAGGAUUAUGUGUGGAGGCUAUAAUGUAAGUUUAAACAGUCUCUGCCACAUACACACACACACACACACACACACACCAUAGAAUCACUGUCAUCUUCCUGUUUUGCUUUUCUUUUUUCAGUCUCCGCUCUAGUAAUGGAAAGGUCUGUGCUAAUCCUGAAGCUGAAUGGGUGAAGGAAGUCAUCGCCAAUAUGACACCUGGAAACCUGUGAAGCAUCACUGCUUGUCUUCAUCUUCCUGCUACUGCAUGAGAACAUGUUACACACACAGUAACAUGUAUAUACACACAUAUGUUAUAUUCUAGCCUUAAUAAUCUCCUCUGAAUGCAAAUACCUCUGUCCUCGCAACUGAUAUAUAUGCAAAAAGUGUAUUGUCAAGCUAUUAAUAUAUUUUUAUCCCAAA